UACGUAGGGUGCGAGCGUUAAUCGGAAUUACUGGGCGUAAAGCGUGCGCAGGCGGUUUUGUAAGCCAGAUGUGAAAUCCCCGGGCUUAACCUGGGAAUGGCAUUUGGGACUGCAAGGCUUGAGUGCGGCAGAGGAGACUGGAAUUCCUGGUGUAGCAGUGAAAUGCGUAGAUAUCAGGAGGAACACCGAUGGCGAAGGCAGGUCUCUGGGCUGACACUGACGCUCAUGCACGAA
rnacentral:rRNA from 1 species